GUGCUCGCUUCAGCAUCAUAUAUACUAAAAUUAGAAGGAUAAAGAAAAGAUUAGCAUGGUUCCUGCACAAGGAUGACAUGCAAAUUCAUGAAGCAUUUUAUAUUUUU